UUAAAAACUGUGAUAGGGACCAAGUAAAUAUGGUUAAUAUUUUAAAGAGAGUGAACGCUUUGGUGGAAGUUCAUAAAUGUUACAUAUUGAAACUCACCCUGGAGUUGCAAGCUGAAAUAAUAGUAAGCUGUGCCGGUGCAAGCCGUUAUAUAAUUGAGUAAUAAAUUUGGGUGGUAACGCGACAGAUCUUCGCCCCAUAG
rnacentral:ncRNA from 1 species